UACGUAGGUGGCAAGCGUUGUCCGGAUUUAUUGGGUUUAAAGGGUGCGUAGGCGGCUUUGUAAGUCAGUGGUGAAAUAUGGCAGCUUAACUGUCAAGGUGCCAUUGAUACUGCAGAGCUUGAGUACAGAUGAGGCAGGCGGAAUUGACGGUGUAGCGGUGAAAUGCUUAGAUAUCGUCAAGAACACCUAUAGCGAAGGCAGCUUACUAAGCUGUAACUGACGCUGAGGCACGAAAGUGUGGGGAUCAAACAGG
rnacentral:rRNA from 1 species